UACAGAGGGUGCAAGCGUUAAUCGGAAUUACUGGGCGUAAAGCGCACGUAGGCGGUUGGUUAAGUUGGAUGUGAAAGCCCCGGGCUCAACCUGGGAAUUGCAUUCAAAACUGGCCAACUAGAAUACGGGAGAGGGGGGUAGAAUUCCAAGUGUAGCGGUGAAAUGCGUAGAGAUUUGGAGGAAUACCAGUGGCGAAGGCGGCCCCUGGCCCGAUAUUGACGCUGAGGUGCGAAAGCGCGGGGAGCAAACAGGAUUAGAUACCCCGGAGUCC
rnacentral:rRNA from 1 species